AGUCCAUGAUGAGAACACUUUCUAAGUAUCUCAUUAAAUCUCUCCCAAGCUUGACUUAGUGUUUCAUCUUCAAACCGUUGAAAAUUAACAAUUUCAUUUCUGAAU